UGGGGAAUUUUGACAAUGGGGGAAACCCUGAUCCAGCCAUCCCGCGUGUGCGAUGAAGGCCUUCGGGUUGUAAAGCACUUUUGGCAGGAAAGAAACGUCGCGGGUUAAUACCCCGCGAAACUGACGGUACCUGCAGAAUAAGCACCGGCUAACUACGUGCCAGCAGCCGCGGUAAUACGUAGGGUGCAAGCGUUAAUCGGAAUUACUGGGCGUAAAGCGUGCGCAGGCGGUUCGGAAAGAAAGAUGUGAAAUCCCAGAGCUUAACUUUGGAACUGCAUUUUUAACUACCGGGCUAGAGUGUGUCAGAGGGAGGUGGAAUUCCGCGUGUAGCAUGAAAUGCGUAGAUAUGCGGAGGAACACCGGAUGGCGAAGGCAGCCUCCUGGGAUAACACUGACGCUCAUGCACGAAAGCGUGGGGAGCAAACAGGAUUAAUACCCUGGUAGUCCACGCCCUAAACGAUGUCAACUAGCUGUUGGGGGCCCUUUCGGGCCUUGGUAGCGCAGCUAACGCGUGAAGUUGA
rnacentral:rRNA from 1 species